UUUACAAUAAAGUGGCAAGCUUUUGCUUUCCUGUUGUUGGCCUCUUGUUCCUUGACCCCUUGUAAACAACGUUUGUCGAUUAUAGAGCCUGCACCCCGUCAGUGUUUAAGAUCAGAAUACUAUAUUUUUAACGCUAUCAAAUGUGGUUUUAAAAGCCCCAACAAUUCAGCAUUUGUAUCAGCUUCACUCUGUUAGCCAUGGGCGUGGUAUACCUCGUAUUAGAACGUUGAAUGCUUAAGCUAGUUACGAUUUCGGACCUUUUGGUUUCAGAUCUCAAAUUUCGUUUUACAAAAAUGUUUCGUGGUUUUUCCAAUAUUACAAAUGGUCAACAUAGACAGCAAUAAUUGUGAUCAAAGUGUUUGGAGUAAAAACUUUGCGAGAAAGACGAGCGAAGUCUUGUAAGCUAUAUAAUGCAGCGUUCAGAGGAGUACACAAUUUAUCUGUUCUAAGUAGUGUCUAGUUCGUUGUUGCUCUCAUUGUAUUUUUAGGUGAUCUUUGAUUAGGUAUAAACCUUGCGGUAUAUGGUAAACGCCAGUUUAAUAAGUUUCGUAUGUGAAAAGAUUAGUAGUUCUUAUAGGCGUUAAGGUUCCCAGUUAACAACAGUAACCUAAAAUUUAUUUGGAUGACGCUAGUGCAUAAGUUACCUGGCAGUGUACGCCUUUGGUUUCCUAAAACUUCUCGCAGUGAGUUUAGCUCUGUAUAAAUCUUUCUUAUUUAUAUCUUAAAAACCUCCAAGAGGUAGUACUAUUAUUUUCAUGUGGGAACCUUCUGUAAACAUUCGAAAUAUAGAUUCUUGAGAAAGUGGAUAGGUAAUAGUCCCUUUUAGGCUGCCGUCACGCACUGUGUUCUGUCGCUGGGGUGUUUAACUUCGUUAAAAGUUAAGUAAGUGAUAGCAGGUAAAUAUUAAUUGUUCUUUAGCUUUUAUUUCAGAGCUAAACAAGAUCUCAAUUA